GGUUGCGAUCAUACCGACACUAAUGCACCGGAUCCUAUCAGAACUUCGCAGUUAAGCUUGCUUGGGCGAGAGUAGUACUAGGAUGGGUGACCCCCUGGGAAGUCCUCGUGUUGCAACCCC
rnacentral:rRNA from 1 species